UACGUAGGGUGCGAGCGUUGUCCGGAAUUAUUGGGCGUAAAGAGCUCGUAGGCGGUCUGUCGCGUCGGUCGUGAAAACUUGCAGCUUAACUGUGGGCGUGCGGUCGAUACGGGCAUGACUGGAGUUCGGCAGGGGAGACUGGAAUUCCUGGUGUAGCGGUGAAAUGCGCAGAUAUCAGGAGGAACACCGGUGGCGAAGGCGGGUCUCUGGGCCGAUACUGACGCUGAGGAGCGAAAGCGUGGGGAGCGAACAGG
rnacentral:rRNA from 1 species